GACGAACGCUGGCGGCGUGCUUAACACAUGCAAGUCGAACGAUGAAGCCUAGCUUGCUAGGUGGAUUAGUGGCGAACGGGUGAGUAAUACGUGAGUAACCUACCUUUAACUCUGGGAUAAGCCCGGGAAGCUGGGUCUAAUACCGGAUACGACCAAUCUCCGCAUGGGGUGUUGGUGGAAAGCGUUAUGUAGUGGUUAUAGAUGGGCUCACGGCCUAUCAGCUUGUUGGUGAGGUAACGGCUCACCAAGGCGACGACGGGUAGCCGGCCUGAGAGGGUGACCGGCCACACUGGGACUGAGACACGGCCCAGACUCCUACGGGAGGCAGCAGUGGGGAAUAUUGCACAAUGGGCGCAAGCCUGAUGCAGCGACGCCGCGUGAGGGAUGACGGCCUUCGGGUUGUAAACCUCUGUUAGCAGGGAAGAAGAGAGAUUGACGGUACCUGCAGAGAAAGCGCCGGCUAACUACGUG
rnacentral:rRNA from 1 species